rnacentral:rRNA from 1 species
GGGUUGUGAGGUUAAGCGACUAAGCGUACACGGUGGAUGCCCUGGCAGUCAGAGGCGAUGAAGGACGUGCUAAUCUGCGAUAAGCGUCGGUGAGGUGAUAUGAACCGUUAUAACCGGCGAUUUCCGAAUGGGGAAACCCAGUGUGUUUCGACACACUAUCAUUAACUGAAUCCAUAGGUUAAUGAGGCGAACCGGGGGAACUGAAACAUCUAAGUACCC